GGGGGUGGCACCAAGGGAGGGGAGCUUGGGAUUUUUGCGAGGUUCCAUUUUUAAUUAUCGUUAGGGCCGUAGCGCCUUGUGUUAGAGGGGCUGGGGGUGCGGAACGGUGAGUUUCCAGAGGAAUCGAACCGGAGGGAGGAACGCUGGGAGAGAGAGUGAAGAAAAAGGAGCUGUGGUGUGGCUGCUGUAAUGGUGGAAAGCUGACGGAGAGAGAAGGAAUUUACAUGUUUGACAGCAGAAGUUGGCUUUCUACUGUAGUGAGAGAAAAUGUAAGUAGAAGAAUGAGGUAGUUCCUUUUUUUUCUAGUUUUUGAGAAACUAAUGCUAACUUUAAAAAGUGGCUAACCAGUUUCAGUUGUUUUAGUCUAUGCAAGUCUAAAAUACCGAUUUUCUACCUUAGUAUUUGGAUUCGUAUGUCAACAGGAAGGAUUUAAAAAUGGUCAGGAAACUUGCUAAAUAAUAGAUGUUAGUGCCUGCCUUCUUUCAGAAAUGGAACUCAUGAAGCAGAGGGAGACCAAAGAUGAAACUGUUUCAUCUCAGUGGGGCAGGGAAGUAAAAGGAAAAAAAAAAAAAA